UACGAAGGGUGCAAGCGUUACUCGGAAUUACUGGGCGUAAAGCGUGCGUAGGCGGUUUGUUAAGUCCGCUGUGAAAGCCCUGGGCUCAACCUGGGAAUUGCAGUGGAUACUGGCAAGCUAGAGUGCGGUAGAGGAUGGUGGAAUUCCCGGUGUAGCGGUGAAAUGCGUAGAGAUCGGGAGGAACACCUGUGGCGAAGGCGGCCCCCUGGGCCGGCCCUGACACUGAGACGCGAAGGCGUGGGGAGCGAACGGG
rnacentral:rRNA from 1 species